CUGAAAGAGCCACCCAUGCGCCCCUGAAAUGAGAAUCUUAAGCAACAGGAUGUUUUCUGGUGUCCUCCAUGCCAGGCUCCUGCAGCUGGCACCUGGCUUUCCCAGCACCAGCUCCCAAAGCACCAGAAACUUCCCUAACAUCCAGUGUCUGCAAUGCAUGAUGGUCAGCAACACACAGCCACCAGCAGCUUCUUGGCACCCCGCUUGGGUGGCUUUAUAUUGGAGUGUUCCUGGUGUGAACGGCUUUCUCCUGCACCCAAGACGGUGGAUUUCUGGGAAGUUCCAGCAACUUCCCCUGCAGCAGAACCUCUGUGACUAUUGUGCCAUCCUGGGAAACACCACACAGACAAGGCUGGAGCCAUCUUGGGAGACACCACCACAGACAAGGCUAGAUCCCAUCCCCUCUGUUUUCUGAGAUUCUGCAUCCACAAAUAUCCCAUCUCCUGCUCCAGCAUUUUCUACCUUUUCACUAACUCGCUGCUGUCUCCUCUAGGGCGAUGACCCAGCUAUCACUCACCCUCCAGGCUUGCCUAGUGAUGAGUCAGCUGACUUUUAAAGCUCCAGGAUCCAAGUCCCACUGGCUUUAAAAACUCAGCCUGUCUGGUUUUUAAAGCCAAACAUUAUGGGGACUAGUUUUCCCCAUAUGAGCUUCCUCCUGCAAGAACCAGUUUCUCUGCCCUCCUCGUGUGCACAAGGCCCUCCAUCUGCCUCCAUCUCCAACCUUCCAAAACCUUCAGGUGCAGCUUCUUCUCUAAUUUAGUUGUGGACUUUGUUCUCUCAGUGUUUGCAUUGUGCUCUGAUUUAUUGACUUGGGUGUGCAUGAUACCUGGCUGUAAACGUGGGAUGGGGUUACCUCAGGGUCCUCCUACUCUGCCAUCUUCCCAAGCUCCCCAGAGUGGACUUGUGAUCCAGGGUGGUCAUAUCCAGAGACCACUGAUACCAGCUUUCAUGAUUUAGAUUAUGACAGUUGGGUCUUUGGAGCUGAUGAUAUAGAGAUGAGAUUUUGAACUUGAGUCGAUGAUGUAAGGGCUUGAGACUUUUAGGAAUGUUAGGAUUGGGUGAAUAUAUUUUGCAUAUGGAGUGGACAUAAAUUUUGGGGAGCCAGAGGGUAGAGUGUGGUAGGUUGAAUAAUGGGCUUCAAAGGUAUCAGUGUCCUAAUCCCCAGAACCCGUGACUGUUUUCUUCGAUGACAAAAAGGACUUUGUGGAUGUGAUUAAGUCAAUGAUCUGAAGAUGAGGAGAAUGGCCUGGAUUGUCCAGAUGGGCGCUGGAUGCAACCACAAGCGUCAUUGUAAGAAGAAUGAAAUUUGACUGAGGAAGAGAAGACUUGAGUGGUGUGAGCAUGGGAGGAGCCAUAAGCUGAGGGACACAGGUAGUCCUUGGACUCUGAAAAAGGUAAAGAAAUGGAUGCUCCCCUCAGAAUCUCUAGAAGGAAGCAGCUCUACUGACAUCUUGCUGUCAGUCCUGUAAGACUCAUUGUUAUGACUUUAAAGUUAACUGCAACACAGAAUGCCACACGAUGAGCUGUGGUUUAACAGACCCCAAGAGUAAUGGAGAUAGAGACGUUCACUACUCAUAAGCCCUGGAGGAGGUGCAUGGCAAACCUCAGGGAGCCACAGGGGGAGGUCAAGUUAGAGUGAAGAUGGAGAAGGAGGCAGGAUCUGGGGAGCCCACCUUUGUUAGGGCUCAGGCGUGGAUGCUUUGGGCGUUCCCAGGCUAAGGCUGGAUUUUCAAACCAGAUCAGUUGCAUACUGGUAAUCCCCAUGGUGGUCUUGCCUAUGAGGCACGGAGUGUCAUGGUCCUGGGAGGCAGGAAAGACUAUUGAUCAUGAGCACUGUUGAGGAAGUCAUGGCAGAAAUUUACAUUUGCUGCAACUCUGCAGGCUGCUGUGGAGGGCAUGCACAUGUAUGAGGGCCGAGUGUCACUUUGCCGUCCCUGCAGGCUUUGGCCAAAGACAACGGAUGCUGAGGCAGCAAUACCUGGAUAGCUUAGCUACAGUCUUGACACUAACUUAGAUUUCUGGCACCCAGAGAGAAUAAAUUUCAUGUUGUUUUAAGCCAUAAAGUUUGUGGUAGCUUGUGACAGCACCAGGAGAUGAAUAUAGCUGACCACUGUUUUUUUUUAAACUUUUUUUUUUUUUACAUUUAUUUAUAUUUGAGAGAUAGAGAGCAUGACCUGGGGAGAGGCAGAAAGAGAGGGAGACACAGAAUAUGAAGCAGGG